CAGAUCAUGACUUCUACUCUUCCUCUCCCUGCAGUUUGGUGAACGUUACGAGAUGGCUACACUGAGGGAAAGAGUGAGAAGUUCAGUCAAGACAGUGCUCACUUUUCAUAGUGAAUCAGACACCUACGAGACCAAAGUUCACCAGUAGGGGGCCCCAUAUACAUUCAAGUGCUACAAAUUCUCCAAACAUACCAUAAAAGACAGUCCAAACCAGGCACGUGUUCACUUACAGUAGACAUCAAGUGGGAUCUUUUUUUUUUUUUUUUACAUGUGUGCGUGUUUCUGUUUGUGCAAAAUUGUCCCUGUCAAAAUAGUUUUGUCUUGCUAACAUCGAUGACUUA